rnacentral:snRNA from 1 species
AGCUCUGCAGUGGCAGUAUCAUAGCCCCUUAUCUAAGGCACGGUCAUUGCUAAUUGAGAACUAUUCCCAAUACCUCACCAUGAUGACUUGAAAUAUGGUCUGCAAUAGCAAUUUCUUUCUUUCUCUUUUUUUUGAGA